rnacentral:lncRNA from 1 species
UUUAGUUUACCAUACUUCAUUCUACCAAAAUUUAAAAUUGUGCUUCUCUCUCCACACAAUUGGUUGCACGAUUAUCCAGUUGCUUCGUCAUCUUCUUCGAUUUUGGUACACACCUUAAGAACUCCACCACCGUUAGCACCAUGCUCGCCACCACCUUCAUCGGAAAUACAAGCCUCUCCAUAGUACCAUCAUAUAUUCCUUACACCACCAGCAUCUCUCUCUGUAAAAGAAUCCCUAAGCACCAAAACCACAAUAAAUCUUCGAUCUCUCCCUUACACUUUUACCACUUUUAGUUUAUCUCCCUUCCCUCUUUCUCUAUGAAAACUCUAGAUUGUCAAGGGUUACCACUUAACCUCCUUCUCCAUGUCUCAUUCUUCAAUUUUCAUCAUGUUUAACUUUCCUCAUCGCUUUUUUUUUUUCAAUUAUUCGUUCAACCUGGAACUCAUUUAUGCUCCUCCCUCACUGGCAAAGAUAGAUUGAGUUACAUAUCAAUUUCCUAAUCUCCAUUUCAUCUUCAAAAUUCAAAUGGAAUCAUUUCAUUUGUGAUUCAAAUUUUGAAUCCCCUUUUCUCUCUCUCUCUCUCUCUCUCUCUCUCUCUCUCUCUCUCUCUCUCUCUCUCUUGAAAAUCUCCUCAUUCUAUCUAAAAACACCUGAUUUCUGAAUCGCUACUGCCACAGGUACACUAGGACUGCAUUACCACUACCCGCUUCUUCCAUUAGUGAACCAUUGCAAACCUCCACCGUUAGUCUCCGUUUAUAUUUCUCUCUGUCUAUGUACACUCCACCAAACCACCGACGAUGUCACCACUGACGCCUCUGUCUAUGUACAUAACAGCACCACUGACGCCUCAUCACAACCACACCCAGGGAAUGAUGUAUGUGUGUGGCCACACCAACCACACCGGUCAAUAUACGAUUGUGUCAACAAAGUAGAGGGUAUAAACUCUAUAACUCUUUUAUAGUUUUUGUAUAAUGUAUCCAUUUUGUAUGAUCUUUAUAGUUUUUAUCUGGAAUGCCUUACAGGGAGGAGCAGUAGCUUGGAGAUCAUAGACAGUAAAGAAAAGGGAUAGUAGAUGACAUAUAAAGUUAGGUGAGAUGUGCUUAAUAUGUUCAUUGAGUGGAAAUUAGGUAUGAAUAGCCUUUAUUAGUUAUUUAAAGUAUUUGUGCGUAUGCAAUUAUCAUUCAGAUGUGGAAGUUACUAUUGACAUCCCUAAUGUUUUGUGAUGUUAUGUAGUUGCUAGACCAUGAGGGAUUAGGGAAGAAACAUCCUCAGUGCAAAAGGGGGGAAAUUUAUAUACCAUUGUAUUCCAUAACUUAUAAAUUUUAACGUAUAAUUUUAAGGUGUAUAAUGGUUACCUGCAGGAUAAAGAAUUUGACAAGUAUCAUGAUUUUAAUGCAUGACAGUUUGGUCUAAUUACAAAAGCUUGAUUAACUCUUUUAUUUGUUCAUGUCAGGUUGUUAUUUGUUGUUACAAUAGUCCUUUCAAUCAAUUCUUAAGUCUGUUUUGGUUCAACAUCUUUAAGAAAUCACUUUGCGUGGAUGACUUGAAUUCGUUCAUGGCAAGGUUCCACCCAAAGUAUGCAAUUUUCACUUUUACUUAUCCCUUUAGUUGUGUUAUUUUCUUUGUAUUCACAUCAUUGUAACUUUGUUGCUAUUAUGUCAAUUUGUGACUAUGUUGCACCUCAACAUGGGUAUUAGUGGAUGCAGUGAAUGCAAUGUCACAGACUCACAUGAAGAUACAUGAAGGUAACCUGCUUGAAAUGCUUCUUUUAUAUUGAUCUUCACUUUUAAAUGGUUUAAAUGCAAAAAAGUUGUAGUUGCAUGGUUUAGUUUUUGUUUUAGUCUUUUUGAGUUAACUUGAAUUUAUAGUUUUCGUUUUGAUAUCAAGGUAUCGCUUCACACAUUCUGAGAACACAAUUUUAGUUCCAGGUGUUGAUUAGGAGAAGUUCUUUUCUGGUACACAUAAUCUACUAAAAUGAGUAAGGCUUGAAGUUUGUAUAUCAAUAGACAAAAGAAAUAGGAGCCUGCAUAUUAAGGUAAAUCAAACUGUUUUGGUUUGAAGUUCUUUUGUUUUUGCAAUUAUGUAGAAAAAACAGAAAGGUUGUUUCUAUUCCUCUGUACUAUUUGAUGAAGAUGAGUUCUGUUUCUGGUUUUGUAGACGGUGAGUGAUGUUUAUGCUUGGGCUUGAGUGAGUAAUAUUACAAAAAUUCAACAAAAUGGUAAUUGUAGUGACAUGUAGUCAUAUGAUGGUAUGGAAUGCACUCUAAAAUAAGGAAUCACAAGAUCUAACUUCUAAAGUAGAGUAAUUUUCUGUUAUUGUUAACAAAGGGGAGAGAUGACAUUCAUGCAUCGAUUUCUAAUCUCCAAAUGAACCUGCUGAAACAUAAAUAUCACUCACUAUUAGGAUUUAAGCCUCAUUUUGUUAUGUUUUAGUUUGUACUCUUUUAUUAAAUUUAUUGUAUCAUAACAUACUUUUUUUUUUUUUUUUAACUUAUGGCAUGCAGUUAUGAAUUAAUGAAAAUAUACAUGAGAAUUAAAGUAAUUAUUUUGUAUAAAAGUCAACCUUGAACUGUUUAAUAAUAAUUUAUAUUGAACGAGGUUCAAUAUAAUUACUAUCAGCUAAUAACAUAGUUAACUGGUCGAAGCAAUUUUUAGAGUUAUUCGCGAGUUUGAUAAGAUUUUUAAAUUUGCUAAAAUAACUAUGUUUGCAAAAUGCAAAAAGAAGGUGCUACUAAUUAGUCGUUAGUUUCAAUAAUUAUUUUUUAUUAUUAAAACGCAUUUAUCAAGAUGAAGAUGAUUAUCUUGCGAGCAAGUGUUGAUAGUUGUUGAAAAACAUCACUCCUCAAUAUUUGUACAUUUUUAAUGAAUAAUAAAAAGAAAAAGAUAAUCUUAAGGAUGCUAAAGUGAUUAAUACUCUGUAUAGCAAGAAAUGGUCAAUUUUAGGCAUAUUUUCAUGCACCCUACAAAUACAAAAUGAACUGAAAGAUGAAAAUACACAGACUUUUUAGUACAAAAUGAAUUGAAAGAUGAA